rnacentral:other from 1 species
CACCUACUGUGGUGUUCGUGAGCGGACCGGGUAUUUUCUUGAGCCUAAUUCCAUACCCCGGGAUCCGAAAACCGGCGCCGUGUGCAGGUCCGCCGCGCAGCGGAAAGCCUAACGCGCCGGCUACGGCUCCCACUUGAACCGCUGGUUCAAGGACGAUGGUCGCCACGGCACUGCGGGGGUGU